rnacentral:sRNA from 1 species
GGUUCGAAUCCUGCACGACCCACCAAUCGUUCGGUGGAAACGAGAAUAAAACGUGAAGGAUAACGUUGCGUCAGCAACGACCCGUAGGGCGAGGCGAAGCCGAGUCAUCCUGAACAACCCACCA